UACGAAGGGGGCUAGCGUUGUUCGGAAUCACUGGGCGUAAAGCGCACGCAGGCGGAUCGAUAAGUCGGGGGUGAAAGCCCGGGGCUCAACCUCGGAAUUGCCUUCGAUACUGUCGGUCUCGAGUCCGGGAGAGGUGAGUGGAAUUCCUAGUGUAGAGGUGAAAUUCGUAGAUAUUAGGAAGAACACCAGUGGCGAAGGCGGCUCACUGGCCCGGUACUGACGCUGAUGCAAGAAAGCGUGGGGAGCAAACAGG
rnacentral:rRNA from 1 species